rnacentral:rRNA from 1 species
UACGUAGGGGGCAAGCGUUGUCCGGAUUUAUUUGGCGUAAAGAGCGUGUAGGCGGCCAGACAGGUCCGUUGUGAAAACUCGAGGCUCAACCUCGAGACGCCGAUGGAAACCGUUUGGCUAGAGUCCGGAAGAGGAGAGUGGAAUUCCCGGUGUAGCGGUGAAAUGCGCAGAUAUCGGGAAGAACACCCGUGGCUAAGGCGGCUCUCUAGUACGGUACUGACGCUGAGACGCGAAAGCGUGGGGAGCGAACAGG